UACGUAGGUGGCUAGCGUUGUCCGGAUUUACUGGGCGUAAAGCGCGCGCAGGCGGUCGUUCAAGUCGAGUGUGAAAGCCCCCGGCUCAACUGGGGAGGGUCAUUCGAUACUGAUCGACUCGAAGGCAGGAGAGGGUAGUGGAAUUCCCGGUGUAGUGGUGAAAUGCGUAGAUAUCGUGAGGAACACCAGUGGCGAAGGCGACUACCUGGCCUGUUCUUGACGCUGAGGCGCGAAAGCUAGGGGAGCAAACGGG
rnacentral:rRNA from 1 species